rnacentral:rRNA from 1 species
UAGGGAAUCUUCCGCAAUGGACGAAAGUCUGACGGAGCAACGCCGCGUGAACGAAGAAGGCCUUCGGGUCGUAAAGUUCUCUUGUUAGGGAAGAACAAGUACCAGAGUAACUGCUGGUACCUUGACGGUACCUAACCAGAAAGCCACGGCUAACUACGUGCCAGCAGCCGCGGUAAUACGUAGGUGGCAAGCGUUGUCCGGAAUUAUUGGGCGUAAAGCGCGCGCAGGUGGUUCCUUAAGUCUGAUGUGAAAGCCCACGGCUCAACCGUGGAGGGUCAUUGGAAACUGGGGAACUUGAGUGCAGAAGAGGAAAGUGGAAUUCCAAGUGUAGCGGUGAAAUGCGUAGAGAUUUGGAGGAACACCAGUGGCGAAGGCGACUUUCUGGUCUGUAACUGACACUGAGGCGCGAAAGCGUGGGGAGCAAACA